GCUUCCUUGGUGUAGUUGGUUAUCACGUGGGUCAGUAUAUCCCAAGGCCGCCAGUUCGAGUCUGGCAGGGAGCA
rnacentral:tRNA from 1 species